rnacentral:rRNA from 1 species
UACAGAGGGUGCAAGCGUUGUUCGGAAUUACUGGGCGUAAAGCGCGUGUAGGCGGUCUUUCUAAGUCCUGUGUGAAAGCCCUGGGCUCAACCCAGGAAGUGCGCAGGAUACUGAUUGACUGGAGUGGCGGAGAGGAUGGCGGAAUUCCCGGUGUAGAGGUGAAAUUCGUAGAUAUCGGGAGGAACACCUGUGGCGAAGGCGGCCAUCUGGACGUUCACUGACGCUGAGACGCGAAAGCGUGGGUAGCAAACAGG